GGAUGAACGUUGGCGGUGUGCCUAAUACAUGCAAGUCGAACGGAGUUAAUAGCAAUAUUGACUUAGUGGCGAACGGGUGAGUAACGCGUUGGUGAUCUGCCUCGAAGUGUGGAAUAACGUUCCGAAAGGAACGCUAAUACCGCAUGUGCUCUCGAUUUUUAGAAAGUUGAGAGUAAAGGAUUUAUUCGCUUCGAGAGGAGCCUGCGUCCCAUCAGCUGGUUGGUAGGGUAACGGCCUACCAAGGCUAUGACGGGUAGGGGACCUGAGAGGGUGGCCCCCCACAAUGGAACUGAAACACGGUCCAUACACCUACGGGUGGCAGCAGUAGGGAAUAUUAGAAAUGGACGAAAGUCUGAUCUAGCAACACCGCGUGUGCGAAGAAGGCCUUCGGGUCGUAAAGCACUUUUUGGAAGGAAUAGGAAGGAAUGUACUUCCAGAAUAAGUCUCGGCUAACUACGUGCCAGCAGCCGCGGUAACACGUAGGAGGCAAACGUUAUCCGGAUUUACUGGGCGUAAAGCGCGUGUAGGUGGUUCUGUAAGUAGGGCGUGAAAGCUCCCGGCUCAACUGGGAGAGGCCGUUCUAAACUACAGAACUAGAGGAUGGUAGAGGGAGGUGGAAUUCCAGGUGUAGCGGUGGAAUGCGCAGAUAUCUGGAGGAACACCAGUGGCGAAGGCGGCCUCCUGGACCACUCCUGACACUCAGACGCGAAAGCUAGGGUAGCAAACGGGAUUAGAGACCCCGGUAGUCCUAGCCCUAAACGAUGUAGACUAGGCGUCGGUGGUUUAAUCACCAUCGGUGUCCAAGCUAACGCGAUAAGUCUACCGCCUGGGGACUACGGCCGCAAGGUUAAAACUCAAAGGAAUUGACGGGGGCCCGCACAAGCGGAGGAACAUGUGGUUUAAUUCGAUGAUACGCGAGGAACCUUACCCGGGCUCGAACGGUGCAUGAAUAAGCAAGAGAUUGUUUAGUCCUUCGGGACAUGUAUCGAGGUGCUGCAUGGUUGUCGUCAGCUCGUGCCGUGAGGUGUCGGCUUAAGUGCCAUAACGAGCGCAACCCUUGUUGUUAGUUACCAACAGGUAAAGCUGGGGACUCUAACGAGACUGCCACCGUAAGGUGUGAGGAAGGGGGGGAUGACGUCAAAUCAGCACGGCCCUUAUGUCCGGGGCGACACACGUGUUACAAUGGGGGGUACAGAGGGCAGCCAUCCGGUGACGGAGCGCCAAUCUCCAAAACCCUUCUCAGUUCGGAUUGGAGUCUGCAACCCGACUCCAUGAAGUUGGAUUCGCUAGUAAUCGCGCAUCAGCCAUGGCGCGGUGAAUACGUUCCCGGGCCU
rnacentral:rRNA from 1 species